rnacentral:rRNA from 1 species
GUGGAAGUGGCGGCGUGCUAUACAUGCAAGUCGAGCGGACAGAUGGGAGCUUGCUCCCUGAUGUUAGCGGCGGACGGGUGAGUAACACGUGGGUAACCUGCCUGUAAGACUGGGAUAACUCCGGGAAACCGGGGCUAAUACCGGAUGGUUGUUUGAACCGCAUGGUUCAAACAUAAAAGGUGGCUUCGGCUACCACUUACAGAUGGACCCGCGGCGCAUUAGCUAGUUGGUGAGGUAACGGCUCACCAAGGCAACGAUGCGUAGCCGACCUGAGAGGGUGAUCGGCCACACUGGGACUGAGACACGGCCCAGACUCCUACGGGAGGCAGCAGUAGGGAAUCUUCCGCAAUGGACGAAAGUCUGACGGAGCAACGCCGCGUGAGUGAUGAAGGUUUUCGGAUCGUAAAGCUCUGUUGUUAGGGAAGAACAAGUGCCGUUCAAAUAGGGCGGCACCUUGACGGUACCUAACCAGAAAGCCACGGCUAACUACGUGCCAGCAGCCGCGGUAAUACGUAGGUGGCAAGCGUUGUCCGGAAUUAUUGGGCGUAAAGGGCUCGCAGGCGGUUUCUUAAGUCUGAUGUGAAAGCCCCCGGCUCAACCGGGGAGGGUCAUUGGAAACUGGGGAACUUGAGUGCAGAAGAGGAGAGUGGAAUUCCACGUGUAGCGGUGAAAUGCGUAGAGAUGUGGAGGAACACCAGUGGCGAAGGCGACUCUCUGGUCUGUAACUGACGCUGAGGAGCGAAAGCGUGGGGAGCGAACAGGAUUAGAUACCCUGGUAGUCCACGCCGUAAACGAUGAGUGCUAAGUGUUAGGGGGUUUCCGCCCCUUAGUGCUGCAGCUAACGCAUUAAGCACUCCGCCUGGGGAGUACGGUCGCAAGACUGAAACUCAAAGGAAUUGACGGGGGCCCGCACAAGCGGUGGAGCAUGUGGUUUAAUUUCGAAGCAACGCGAAGAACCUUACCAGGUCUUGACAUCCUCUGACAAUCCUAGAGAUAGGACGUCCCCUUCGGGGCAGAGUGACAGGUGGUGCAUGGUUGUCGUCAGCUCGUGUCGUGAGAUGUGGGUUAAGUCCCGCAACGAGCGCAACCCUUGAUCUUAGUUGCCA